UGACAAUAAUUAUAGGAAUAAUUUCUCAUAUAAAAACUCCACUAAAAGAGCUACCAAAAUGAAAAUUUUCCAACUAUCUUCAAGAGCAACUCUCGCCCCUAAGGACAUGUACACACAUCAGCAUGCCACAUGUGCCUGUUCCUGUGCCCCAUGUCCCUGUACAUAUCUCUCUCUCUCCUACCCCUCUAUGUGUACAACUUGGCCAUGUUAUAAAAAUUCAACAAGCUGCCUGCUGCCUGUGCUGUCUAAGGCCAGGGAAGGCCACCGAAACCAGCUUACUUCGGGCAAUGGCAAAUAGCUUUGGUGGCCCCCAAACCAAACUCCCUGACUGCGGGCUGGAGCGGGCUGAUGGACUGGUCUGAAAUGGAGGCUGUGUGCAAUGCCAGUGCCCGAAAGCGGCAGCCCAACUAAAACCCGCUGCUUAAACAUUUAACAAACUGCAGGCCAAAAGCUCGACAGGCCGCGCUUGACUGACAGUUGACUGCCGUUGUUCGAUGUUGCAAUUGUUGCAUUUGUUUGCUGGUUGUUGCUGUUGUGGCUGUUGCAUAUUCAAAUUCUGACGCACAGAGCAAAACCAAAUGAAAUAUAUUUUCCAAUCAAAUUGAAAUGCAAACAUGUGCAACGAUUGUGGCGGCCCCAGUGACGCAGAGAGAGUGAGAGAGUGCUGGAUGGAUAGAUGGAUGGAUGGCACUGCCACUGCACUGUUCGCUGCUCCAUGUGGAUGCCAAAAUUGGUAUUGAAAAAGUCAUGGAUAACACAAAAAUUUUAUGCUGUGUGACUUUGAAUGACAGAUGAGUUUUACUUGCGGCAACAGGAAGCUGCAGCAGCAGCAGCAGCAGCAGCCGAAAAUCGUAACAACUAAAAAAACAAACUGUUUGCAAUGAAAAUGUCGCGCACACGCGUUGGCCCAAAAAAGAAAUACCCAAAAUCGAAUGAAGAAAAUAGUCAACAAUUUGACAGCUGGCAAAAGUGGCAGCGGAGGCGUGUGGCAAAUAGGGAAAAAAAAAACAACAACAAUCGUUGUGUGCGUAAGUGUGUGGGCGUAGCACAAUGCCAAUGGAAACUUAAUUCAAAAUCAACAACAGAGAAGGAAAAUAUGAAAAGGAAAAACAGUUUGACAGGAAAAAUGAAGUAGUAAAUACCCUGAAAAUAGAGAGAAAAGAAAAUAAGCGGCGGGAAUUAAUGGGUAGAAUUUAUAGUAAUUAUUUUAGGCACAAAUUUAAGGACAAAAAACGUGAAAAAAUGAUACGAAAUUUGCCUAUUUAUUAGUCCAUUAAAGCCAAAGUUGCUUAAAACAAUCCUUCAUAAUUUCAUCUUUACUUCAUUAGCAAAACUGCCAUACUGCCGCCGUUUCAGAGAGUAUCUACAAUGGUGAAAAUCCGGAAGGAAGUUGCCAGCGUCACAAGACGUUGACGUUGUGUCGAAUGGGAAGCCAGUAAAAACGCCGCCCUAGAACCUCCGACCAGAACCUCUGCCUCAAGCCUCUUCUAUGCCCUAGAACCUCUUCUCCGACUCUACCGCUGCCAUCCUGCAUACCAAAGUCGAUGAAUGAGGAGCCAAAAACCGAAACAGAAGUGAGCCAAAACCGUAACAAAACUGAAACCUUUACAGAACCGCUCAACGUUGUGUCGACCUUUGGGUUGCCGUUUUUGUUUUUGUUGUUGUUGUUGUUGUUGUUGGUACUGGUGUUGGCCUAACUGACUGACUGACUGACUGACUGGAUGGCUCUGGUUCGGGCUCUUGCGCUGACUGGGAUGGCUGACUGGGCUCUGGCUGCUUCCGCUUUUUACGUUCAUUGCCUCUGCCACAAUUUUAAUUUUCCUAAUGGAUAUCGAUCCCGGAGUCGGAGUCGUCGUCGUCGUCGUCGUCGUCGUCGUCGUAGUCGCAACAACAACUGCCUGACUGGCUGGCUGACUGGCUGGCUGGCUGGCUGGCGAAAAGGAUAAUAGACUUCUUUAUUGUGCAUGCGACUCUAUAAAAGUCAACUCCUGGACUUUGUUGUACUCCGUGCUAUGCCGCCGCUACGCCAGACUAUUCUGUGGCACUGUGCGUGGGGGUUGUGUGUGGCAGGUUGUUGGUGGUGGACACACAAUCGAGGCCAGACACACACACACACACACACACACAGAGAACGUUGCAUAAAUACUUAAGCAACAACCUCACACAAUAAAUAAUCUGCUACGUCAUGCAAAAGGGAAACUCCAAGGGAAGGAGUUUGUUCCAUCGAGCUCCAUCCUUCAUAGAGGGAGCUUCGUGGAAGGAGGGUUGGAACAGACAUUGAAAAUUAGAUUUCAAACAGGCUUAGAUAACUCUUUCCCCUUUUCACUUUGUGUGUAAUCCGACCGCAGCUACACAAAUUGCAAAAUGUUUAUUUGAAUUUGCCGGUUUUGCAGCUGCCACUGGAGACCCGCUAAAGUGCGAAAAUUAAAUGAGCCACAAGUCAGAGGUGGGUAGGAUCCAGCAUUCCACAUGUCUCUUCUCUGCUUUACUUUGCUCUCCUCUGUGUUUGUGUAGGUGUUUAUUCUGCUUUUCCUGCUUCUAUUUACAUACAUUUUCGCCUGGUUUUCCUUUUUGGCAAAUACCAGCUCUGGCUGUGGCUUCCAGCUGCCUCCAGGUGCCAAAUGAGCAGCAGCACAUUGAAAAUUGCCUAAACCAGCAUUUUGUUCGAAUUUGUGUUUAUAUUUACACAGCAGAUAAAAUAACAUUAGCU
rnacentral:lncRNA from 1 species